AUUGAACGCUGGCGGCAGGCCUAACACAUGCAAGUCGAGCGAGCGGCGGACGGGUGAGUAAUGUCUGGGAAACUGCCUGAUGGAGGGGGAUAACUACUGGAAACGGUAGCUAAUACCGCAUACCAUCAGAUGUGCCCAGAUGGGAUUAGCUGGUAGGUGGGGUAACGGCUCACCUAGGCGACGCUCCCUAGCUGGUCUGAGAGGAUGACCAGACACACGGGAACUGCUACACGGUCCAGACUCCUACGGUAGGCAGCAGUGGGGAAGAGUGCACAAUGGGCGCAAGCCUGAUGCAGCCAUGCCGGGUGUGUGAAGAAGGCCUUAGGGUUGUAAAGCACUUUAAGCGGGGAGGCGUUACCCGCAGAAGAAGCACCGGCUAACUCCGUGCCAGCAGCCGCGGUAAUAC
rnacentral:rRNA from 1 species